CCGCGGUAAUACGUAGGUGGCAAGCGUUAUCCGGAAUUAUUGGGCGUAAAGCGCGCGCAGGCAGAUUGAUAAGUCAGGUGUGAAAUCUCGAGGCUCAACCUCGAAACUGCGCCUGAAACUAUUAGUCUAGAAUGUCGGAGGGGAUAGGGGAAUUUCACGUGUAGGGGUAAAAUCCGUAGAGAUGUGAAGGAACACCGGAGGCGAAGGCGCCUAUCUGGACGACUAUUGACGCUGAGGCUCGAAAGCGUGGGGAGCAAACAGG
rnacentral:rRNA from 1 species